rnacentral:rRNA from 1 species
AAUACAUGCAAGUCGAGCGAACGGACGAGAAGCUUGCUUCUCUGAUGUUAGCGGCGGACGGGUGAGUAACACGUGGAUAACCUACCUAUAAGACUGGGAUAACUUCGGGAAACCGGAGCUAAUACCGGAUAAUAUUUUGAACCGCAUGGUUCAAAAGUGAAAGACGGUCUUGCUGUCACUUAUAGAUGGAUCCGCGCUGCAUUAGCUAGUUGGUAAGGUAACGGCUUACCAAGGCAACGAUGCAUAGCCGACCUGAGAGGGUGAUCGGCCACACUGGAACUGAGACACGGUCCAGACUCCUACGGGAGGCAGCAGUAGGGAAUCUUCCGCAAUGGGCGAAAGCCUGACGGAGCAACGCCGCGUGAGUGAUGAAGGUCUUCGGAUCGUAAAACUCUGUUAUUAGGGAAGAACAUAUGUGUAAGUAACUGUGCACAUCUUGACGGUACCUAAUCAGAAAGCCACGGCUAACUACGUGCCAGCAGCCGCGGUAAUACGUAGGUGGCAAGCGUUAUCCGGAAUUAUUGGGCGUAAAGCGCGCGUAGGCGGUUUUUUAAGUCUGAUGUGAAAGCCCACGGCUCAACCGUGGAGGGUCAUUGGAAACUGGAAAACUUGAGUGCAGAAGAGGAAAGUGGAAUUCCAUGUGUAGCGGUGAAAUGCGCAGAGAUAUGGAGGAACACCAGUGGCGAAGGCGACUUUCUGGUCUGUAACUGACGCUGAUGUGCGAAAGCGUGGGGAUCAAACAGGAUUAGAUACCCUGGUAGUCCACGCCGUAAACGAUGAGUGCUAAGUGUUAGGGGGUUUCCGCCCCUUAGUGCUGCAGCUAACGCAUUAAGCACUCCGC